UACGUAGGGGGCAAGCGUUGUCCGGAAUCAUUGGGCGUAAAGCGCGUGUAGGCGGCCCGGCAAGUCGGAUGUGAAAGCCCUGGGCUUAACCUAGGAAGUGCAUUCGAAACUCCCGUGGCUUGAGUUCUGGAGAGGGAAGCGGAAUUCUCGGUGUAGAGGUGAAAUUCGUAGAUAUCGAGAGGAACACCGGUGGCGAAGGCGGCUUCCUGGACAGUGACUGACGCUGAGACGCGAAAGCGUGGGGAGCAAACAGG
rnacentral:rRNA from 1 species